CUACGGGCCGCACCAGUAGGGAAUUUUGCGCAAUGGAGGAAACUCUGACGCAGCAACGCCAUGUGAGGGAUGAAGCAUUUAGGUGUGUAAACCUCUUUCGCUAGGGAAUAAGGUAAACUUUGGUUUACUUGAAUGUACCUAGAUAAGAAGCACCGGCUAACUUCGUGCCAGCAGCCGCGGUAAUACGAGGGGUGCAAGUGUUGUUCGGAAUUACUGGGCGUAAAGGGAGCGUAGGCGGGAAAUUAAGUCAGAUGUAUAAUUCCAUGGCCCAACCAUGGGUUUGCGUUUGAAACUGAUUUUCUUGAAUAGGAUAGAGGUAGAUGGAAUUCCCGGUGUAGCGGUGGAAUGCGUAGAUAUCGGGAGGAACACCAGUUGCGAAGGCGAUCUACUGGAUCCAUAUUGACGCUGAGGCUCGAAAGCGUGGGGAGCGAACAGGAUUAGAUACCCUGGUAGUC
rnacentral:rRNA from 1 species